rnacentral:rRNA from 1 species
UGGCUCAGGACGAACGCUGGCGGCGUGCUUAACACAUGCAAGUCGAGCGGUAAGGCCCUUCGGGGUACACGAGCGGCGAACGGGUGAGUAACACGUGAGCAAUCUGCCCUUCACUUCGGGAUAACCCCCGGAAACGGGAGCUAAUACCGGAUACGACCACUUCAGGCAUCUGAUGGUGGUGGAAAGUUCUGGCGGUGGAGGAUGAGCUCGCGGCCUAUCAGCUUGUUGGUGGGGUAGUGGCCCACCAAGGCUUCGACGGGUAGCCGGCCUGAGAGGGUGACCGGCCACACUGGGACUGAGACACGGCCCAGACUCCUACGGGAGGCAGCAGUGGGGAAUAUUGGACAAAUGGGCGAAAGCCUGAUCCAAGCAACGCCGCGUGUAGGGAAAUGACGCGUCUUACGGGGGUUGGUAAAACUUCUUUACAGCGCAGUAACGAAUCGCAAUAUGUGAACGUUAUCCGCCAAAAAAGUCAACCCGGGCCCAAAUUUAACGUG